GGGGGCUUGCUCCCGGGUUAGUGGCGAACGGGUGAGUAAUAUAUCGGAACAUAUCCGGAAGUGGGGGAUAACGUAGCGAAAGUUACGCUAAUACCGCAUAUGCCCUGAGGGGGAAAGGGGGGGAUCGCAAGACCUCUCGCUUUCGGAGUGGCCGAUACCGGAUUAGCUAGAUGGUGAGGUAAAGGCUCACCAUGGCGACGAUCCGUAGCUGGUCUGAGAGGACGACCAGCCACACUGGAACUGAGACACGGUCCAGACUCCUACGGGAGGCAGCAGUGGGGAAUUUUGGACAAUGGGCGAAAGCCUGAUCCAGCCAUACCGCGUGAGUGAAGAAGGCCUUCGGGUUGUAAAGCUCUUUCAGCCGGAAAGAAAUCGCACUUUUUAAUACGGAGUGUGGAUGACGGUACCGGAAGAAGAAGCACCGGCUAACUACGUGCCAGCAGCCGCGGUAAUACGUAGGGUGCGAGCGUUAAUCGGAAUUACUGGGCGUAAAGCGUGCGCAGGCGGUUUGAUAAGCCAGAUGUGAAAUCCCCGGGCUUAACCUGGGAACUGCAUUUGGAACUGUCAGACUAGAGUGUAGCAGAGGGGGGUAGAAUUCCACGUGUAGCAGUGAAAUGCGUAGAUAUGUGGAGGAAUACCAAUGGCGAAGGCAGCCCCCUGGGUUAACACUGACGCUCAUGCACGAAAGCGUGGGGAGCAAACAGGAUUAGAUACCCUGGUAGUCCACGCCCUAAACGAUGUCAACUAGUUGUUGGGGGAGGAGACUUCCUUUAGUAACGCAGCUAACGCGUGAGUUGACCGCCUGGGGAGUUACGGUCGCA
rnacentral:rRNA from 1 species